GUAUAUAUAGGAAAAAAGCACAUAUUAAAAUUGGAAUGAUACAAAGAUGAUUAACAUGGCCCCUGCACAAGGAUGACACACAAGUUCUUGAAGCGUUCCAUAUAAGU